UAUAUUUUUUAAAUUCUAUUAUUAAUCUAACUUUUUUUAAGUACAUAUUUCGUUGAUACAAAUUUUCACCAAAAAAUUAAGAUUGCCACACUUAUUUUUCAUUUCCCUCUUCUUUCUUUAUCAAACUUUGCACUCUCCUUAUCCUAAUCGUGUUACCUCACCAGUGACAAACUCCCUAACCUUCAUUGGCGAAUGACGUCUACCCCCACGAAACCCCUUACGUUAACAUCCCUUGUGGGUUGUCGCCACACUAUCGACCUACACUGCCGCACAUCUCAAACAUCGCCGUCCUCGAUACCAAUUGAGAUUCCAUCUCCAAUUUCAAGCAAUCGUUUCCACUUGCCCUUAUCCCAAAGACGCAAAACGAUCUCACGACUCUCGUUGUUCUUUUGAUUUCCUUCUCUAUUGUUUCCACUUGCUAAUUAAGUUCGAGAGUCUGAGACAUAGAACAGGUCUGACAGUAUCAAGCCCUUUGACUACACCUCGUCGCCUCCGCCUGAAGCACCUCCGCUUCCAGGUCCUCAUGGCGCUUGCUCAUCUUGUUGUUCUGAGCUUAGUUAUGCAGAUUCGACGGUAUAUUGCCAUCGUUUAGUUGUGUAAAUUCACAAUUUCACAGAUUUACAGCUUCACAAAUUCAUGGUUUCACAAUUUUAAUGAAUUUUGUUUUCAUUGAUGGAUAGUUCUAAUCAAAUUCGUUUUUAUUGAUUGAAAAUUUUAAAUGUUUAGCAUCACAGAUUCAUAGAGAUUCUUGUUCACACGGUAUUGGACUUGUCUCAUCUGUUUCCCCUCCUCCAGAUGACCCCUCGGCUGUCAUAAAUUCUGCUUAAUAUUGUUAAUUUUUUUUCCUAAUACUGUUAAAAAAACUGCAAUAUUAAAGUUAUCAGCCAAUGAAGAGUUUAUAUAACCGAUAAUGUUUGAAAUUUGAUUAUUUAUAUGUUUGUUUGUGUGUUGACUAGUGGUUCCUUAAAGAGAUAACUCGAGAUAUUCAUAGUGCAGAUGGGGAAUGGAGAAUAAUUCUGUUGAGAUACUUCAAUCCUAUUGGAGCUCACGAGAGUGGGAAACUUGGGGAAGAUCCCAUUGGGAUCCCAAAUAAUCUGAUGCCUUACACACAAAAACUAAGUAGUUGUUAGAAGAUUACAAGAGUUGAAUGUUUAUGGUCAUGAUUACUCUACAAAAGAUGGCAGUGUUAUCCGGGAUUACAUCCAUGUGAUGGAUUUAGCUGAUGGUCAUGUUGCAAGACUUAAAAAGCUAGAGGAAUUGUGUUAUAUAUUUUAUGGUGGUGGUUUGCAGGGCAAAAUAUGUGAUAAAAUGAUUAUUUUCGUACUGAAUGUCAUGGUAUUCUUAUACGUAUGGUAUGUGUUUCUUAAUGUCAUGAAUUACAUUUGUAGCGAUUAUAUUUUUCCUUCGUUUAGCAUAUAAAGAUCUUUAUUUUUGUUUGUAGAAGGGAAAGGCCAAACAUUGAUCCUAGCGUGACGUGGAGAAUAAGAAAAUGACAAAAAAAUGACGACAUACAUUCCUUAAUAUCUUUUUACCAUAUAAUACCAUCAAAUUUUUCUGGUGUAAUAUUGUUAUAACACAAAGUCAAAUUUUUUCAAUUUUUUACUAUAAUGGUGGAUGACAUGUUAUAACAUAAACUGCAUAUUAUAGCAAUGUACUUUCGUUAUGCAAUGUUAGACAAAGUUGUAUUCUUUUCA